CACUAGUGUUUAUUUAUGAUGUGACAGAAACAGAAGGAUGAAUUAUGAAGUGUAUAGGGAUGUAUAGUCUGCUCAGAUUCAGUGAAGGUGAUUGAACGUCACUUCACUUUAUAGAUGAACAAUGACCCAAAACAUACUGCGAAAGCAACCCAGGAGUUUUUCUUUUGUUUAAGGCAAAGAAGUGGAGUAUUGUGUAGUGGUCAAGUCAACCACCUGAUCCCAACCUGAUUGAGCAUGCCUUUCACUGAAGACAAAGAGUAAGGUAGAAAGACCUACAAACAAACAACUGAAGACAGCUGCAGUAAAGGCCUG